rnacentral:piRNA from 1 species
UACUAAGAGAUGAAUGAACAGACUUGCCUA